GCUGGGUGUGGUGGUGCGUGCCUGUAAUCCCAGCUCCUUGGGAGGCUGAGUCAGGAGAAUCACUUGAACCCAGGAGGCGGAGGUUGCAGUGAGCGGAGAUUGUGCCACUGCACUCCAGCCUGGGUGACAGAGCAAGACCCUGUCUCAA
rnacentral:SRP_RNA from 1 species